GCGAAUUCGUGUGAAACUGUCAGGCAGGCGGAUCUUCAUAGUACGGCAAACCCUUCGAAUAUCUCUCAUCACUUGCUAGUCUUUAUGCACCAAGGUGAGUGAUGUGCGGAUCUGUCCGGAGAGAAAGCCAGCCCCUUUCAAUCAUGCCGGGAGCUGCUGCAAAGUGAUAUGUUCUUGUGAACGAAUGCAGUACAAAAAACUGAAACGUGAAGUAAUAAAAGUUGAUCACAAAAGGUAAUGCUUCUAACCAAUUAUUGCAAUUGGGAUAAUCGCUGGCUGCCAAAUUUUGAGUUAAACGAAUGAAUACAAUUUGUCAAGUAUUUUCCAUUGAGUAUUACGUUUAUUUAUAUGUAUAGAUACCUUAGAGGUAGUGGACAAGUUCGCUCUGCUUUUGGGUGAACCUGGUAUCCAGAAGGAGGCUAACGCCGGUAAUAGAUAGACCAAUAUCGCACUCUUCACCAAACAAAUAAGCGGACCAAGUGCAGCACGAUUUGAAGAGUUUAGGUUGUCGUCGAGGAUGGAAAGAGGCAGCAGCUGAACGAGUUUGCUGGGAACACGUGUUGUUCAUGAGAUUUUAUCUAAUAUCAAUAAAUACAUAAAGUAAUUUUGCGACAGAUCUCAUGUUCCCAAAUAUUAGAUUCUUGUCCGAUGGCUGGGCUGUGCAUGCAUCCACUUCCAUGUUCUCCGCGUGUCUCUAUUAUAAAAUCGUCUCUGGGUUACUGUAGCUUCGAGAAAGACCUCAAGCAAAGCGCAAAUUGGUUGAUGCGCAAUGGUCGCGACGGCACACGUCGCCAUAGAGCGUCGUUAUGCUUUGAUUAGGUACUGCACACGACCCCACUGCAAACAGCAGUGCUUCCUCGUCAUCAUCAAGUGCAUUUCAUCAACCAUCUCAAGCAGCGAUAUAACUAUAGGUACAGCACUGCGAGUGCUUCUCAUGCGUUUCCCUCAACGAUGCCAAGUCCGUGUGAACAACCGCUGAAUGGCUAUAAAAGUGUCACACCUCGAUUGGGGCGGCAUCAUUCGGGUUGUUGCAGUGCGCUCUAGAUAACGAGGCGAAAAGUGAUAACAGUCGGAUCAGAAGUUCGUGCCGAAGUAGAGAAGACCAGCCAAUUGAAAAUGCCGUGCAAGUGUUGUGGUAAUGAUUGCAAGUGCACCUCUGCCUGCGGACAGGGCAAAUCCUGUGACGCCGGAUGCAACUGCAACUGUGCCAGCAAAAAAGAAACAGGAAAAGACUGCUGUGAAUCGGGAAGCUGCAAAAAGUGAAAUAACAAUUAGGUAGUUUUCUAAUUGUCCCUAAUCAAGUAUGAUUUGUGUAAGAUAUUCUAAUUAAUGCUUGAACAAGCAAGAUUAGUGUAAGUUUUUGUAACGCUGGAUCGGUCAUAAUAGAAUAAUUUCGACAAAUUAA